rnacentral:rRNA from 1 species
GACGAACGCUGGCGGCGUGCCUAAUACAUGCAAGUCGAACGCAGUGGGAACGGGUGAGUAACACGUGGUUAACCUCCCCAUCAGAGGGGAUAACCCUUGGAAACGGGUGCUAAACGGAUACUGUGGGAUGAACCCGCGGUGCAUUAGCUAGUGGGUGAGGUAACGUCUCACCAGGGCCACGAUGCAUAGCCGACCUGAGAGGGUGAUCGGCCACAUUGGGACUGAGACACGGCCCAGACUCCUACGGGAGGCAGCAGUAGGGAAUCUUCGGCAAUGGACGAAAGUCUGACCGAGCAACGCCGCGUGAGUGAAGAAGGUUUUCGGAUCGUAAAACUCUGUUGUUAGAGAAGCGGUAUCUAACCAGAAAGCCACGGCUAACUACGUGCCAGCAGCCGCGGUAAUUC